rnacentral:rRNA from 1 species
UACGUAGGGUGCAGGCGUUAAUCGGAAUUACUGGGCGUAAAGCGUGCGCAGGCGGUUUGCUAAGACAGGUGUGAAAUCCCCGGGCUUAACCUGGGAACUGCGCUUGUAACUGGCAAGCUUGAGUGUGGCAGAGGGGGGUGGAAUUCCACGUGUAGCAGUGAAAUGCGUAGAGAUGUGGAGGAACACCGAUGGCGAAGGCAGCCCCCUGGGCUAACACUGGCGCUCAUGCACGAAAGCGUGGGGAGCAAACAGG